ACAAAAACCGCCUCGGGUCCCUA
rnacentral:siRNA from 1 species